rnacentral:rRNA from 1 species
ACUCAAAGGAAUUGACGGGGACCCGCACAAGCGGUGGAGCAUGUGGUUUAAUUCGACGCAACGCGAAGAACCUUACCUGCUCUUGACAUCCUCUUGACCGGUCCGUAAUGGGACCUUCCCUUCGGGGCAAGAGUGACAGGUGGUGCAUGGUUGUCGUCAGCUCGUGUCGUGAGAUGUUGGGUUAAGUCCCGCAACGAGCGCAACCCCUAUCUUUAGUAGCCAGCAGUUCGGCUGGGCACUCUAGAGAGACUGCCAGGGAUAACCUGGAGGAAGGUGGGGAUGACGUCAAAUCAUCAUGCCCCUUAUGAGCAGGGCUACACACGUGCUACAAUGGCGUAAACAAAGAGAAGCAAAGUCGCGAGGCCGAGCAAAUCUCAAAAAUAACGUCUCAGUUCGGAUUGUAGUCUGCAACUCGACUACAUGAAGCUGGAAUCGCUAGUAAUCGCAAAUCAGAAUGUUGCGGUGAAUACGUUCCCGGGUCUUGUACACACCGCCCGU